GACGAACGCUGGCGGCGUGCCUAAUACAUGCAAGUAGAACGCUGAAGAGAGGAGCUUGCUCUUCUUGGAUGAGUUGCGAACGGGUGAGUAACGCGUAGGUAACCUGCCUGGUAGCGGGGGAUAACUAUUGGAAACGAUAGCUAAUACCGCAUAAAAUUGAUUAUUGCAUGAUAAUUAAUUGAAAGAUGCAACUGCAUCACUACCAGAUGGACCUGCGUUGUAUUAGCUAGUUGGUGAGGUAACGGCUCACCAAGGCGACGAUACAUAGCCGACCUGAGAGGGGGAUCGGCCACACUGGGACUGAGACACGGCCCAGACUCCUACGGGAGGCAGCAGUAGGGAAUCUUCGGCAAUGGGGGGAACCCUGACCGAGCAACGCCGCGUGAGUGAAGAAGGGUGUCGGAUCGUAAAGCUCUGUUGUAAGAGAAGAACGGGUGUGAGAGUGGAAAGUUCACACUGUGACGGUAUCUUACCAGAAAGGGACGGCUAACUACGUG
rnacentral:rRNA from 1 species